rnacentral:rRNA from 1 species
UACAUGGGGUGCAAACGUUGCUCGGAAUUAUUGGGCGUAAAGCGCGCGUAGGCGGUUACUCAAGUCGGAUGUGAAAGCCCUCGGCUUAACUGAGGAAGUGCACCCGAAACUGAGUAGCUAGAGUACUAAAGAGGGUCGCGGAAUUCCCGGUGUAGAGGUGAAAUUCGUAGAUAUCGGGAGGAACACCAGUGGCGAAGGCGAGUCCCUGGACAACACCUGACACUGAGGCACGAAAGCUAGGGGAGCAAACAGG